ensembl:sense_intronic
GAUCCACCUAAUUUUACCUCAUGAGUACAAUUUUAUAUAAUUCUUAUAACCUUUUUUAUAAGGAAUUCCAUAAGUUGCUAUUUUAAAAAGAUACCAGAGGAAAAGAUCCUGUUGAAUUUUCCUAUGAAAAAUUUCCUGCAGUUAAUUAACAACAUUCUACUACUGCUUGAAAUAAGAAGUUGACAUUGUUUACAUAAGUGAGCCUUUUAUACCAUUUACUUUUUCAGUUCUCAUCUUUUUGGGUUAAGACUUCAAACACAUCUGAUUUUACCUUUUUAUCUAGAUCUUUUAUUUCAAGUCUUUGGCAUUUUGUUGAAGCAGAUAACUUUGAUUUGCAAAGAUAGCUGAACCAGUUAUGCUAUUUUCAUGGAAAUGACAGGACCCAAUAGAUGGCUUUGUACUCUCCUGUCUCGAGGAUGAAGUACUAAUGCUGUGACUCAGUUACUGGUGUGCCAACCAGGCAUCAGUUAUGUGGUGUUAUGACAGGUUUGUUAAUGGUUCCCAAUGUGAGUGUCAAAGAAAAAAAUUGUAAAUAGCCUCAGGUUAGCACUUCAAAAAUACGGAUUAAAAAAAAGAAGGAUUAAAUUUCCAUACUCCCAUCUAAAGUUUAAAAGAGAGAAUGCAGCUUAGUUUAUUCAGUACUUAUUUUUUCUGUUCUAGUCUAGUGGGAAGGCUUUAUUUUACUUCAAUCUUCCUGAAAUACAGCUUUUAAAGCAAAUUUUGUUUUGUCCAAAAUGAUUUUAAGUUUAUUUUACAAAUACAGAUUUUAUUCUGAUAAUCAAUUGAAGUUUCAGAUAAAAGAAAAAUGGUUGUAGCUUAACCUAGGUAUGGUAAAAAUAAUAUAUAUUUUGGAAAUGAGUAACCAAAGGGGAACCUAUACAGUCUCCCAACUCCUAUAAACUUUCAUAGAUUUUUGCGGCAAUAGUCCACUAAAUCAGCCCCCCCCCCCCUGCUAAGUAUCUUUAAAGGGUACAAUUUUUUUUAUCUUAUAAACUUUAUUGCUUAAAAAAAAUAGGGCCAGAUAGGUAGAUCUCUAUGAGUUCCAGACCAACCAAGGCUACAUAAUAAGAAUCCAUCUCAAAACAACAAAACAAAACAAACAAAAAAACCCACUACACUAUAAAGAAAAUAAAACUUGCAAAUAAAUAAAAAUAUCACAGAUGCCAAUUCUUUUUUUUUUUUUAAUUAGGUAUUUUCCUCGUUUACAUUUUCAGUGCUAUCCCAAAGGUCCCCCAUACCCCCCCCCCCAAUCCCCUACCCACCCACUCCCCUAAAGUUUGCAAGUCCAAUNAUGUAAAUAAAGAAAAUACCUAAUUUUAAAAAAAGGAAAAUAAAUAAAUAAAUAAAAUU